AGCUAGGCUUACUUCUGAUGUCAUCCACUUGUAUAAGGUAAACAUGACCAGGACUGGUUAGUACUUGGAUGGGAGACCACCAGGGAAUACCAGGAAUCUCCAGGUA
rnacentral:rRNA from 1 species